GACGUAGGGUCCAAGCGUUGUCCGGAUUUACUGGGCGUAAAGAGCGCGCAGGCGGCUGGUCAAGUCCGAUGUGAAAUCUCCCGGCUCAACUGGGAAACUGCAUCGGAAACUGAUCGGCUUGAAGAUGGGAGAGGGUAGUGGAAUUCCCGGUGUAGUGGUGAAAUGCGUAGAUAUCGGGAGGAACACCAGUGGCGAAGGCGACUACCUGGCCCAUUCUUGACGCUGAGGCGCGAAAGCUAGGGGAGCGAACGGG
rnacentral:rRNA from 1 species